UCCGUAGGUGAACCUGCGGAAGGAUCAUUACAGAGUUCAUGCCCGAAAGGGUAGACCUCCCACCCUUGUGUAUUAUUACUUUGUUGCUUUGGCGAGCUGCUCUUCGGGGCCUUGUAUGCUCGCCAGAGAAUAUCAAAACUCUUUUUAUUAAUGUCGUCUGAGUACUAUAUAAUAGUUAAAACUUUCAACAACGGAUCUCUUGGUUCUGGCAUCGAUGAAGAACGCAGCGAAAUGCGAUAAGUAAUGUGAAUUGCAGAAUUCAGUGAAUCAUCGAAUCUUUGAACGCACAUUGCGCCCCUUGGUAUUCCGGGGGGCAUGCCUGUUCGAGCGUCAUUUCAACCCUCAAGCUCAGCUUGGUAUUGAGUCCAUGUCAGUAAUGGCAGGCUCUAAAAUCAGUGGCGGCGCCGCUGGGUCCUGAACGUAGUAAUAUCUCUCGUUACAGGUUCUCGGUGUGCUUCUGCCAAAACCCAAAUUUUCUAUGGUUGACCUCGGAUCAGGUAGGGAUACCCGCUGAACUUAAGCAUAUCAAUAAGCGGAGGAAA
rnacentral:rRNA from 1 species